rnacentral:rRNA from 1 species
AUAAAUUUAUUUAUAUAAAUUUAUAUUAAAUUUAAUUUUUUUAUUUAAAAUAAUAAAAAAUUUUUUAUAUUUAAGUAAUUAAAAUAAAAUAAAAUUAAUUUAUAUAAUUUUAGUAUUGAAAAAGAAUAAUUUAAUUAUUUUAAAAUAAUUUUAAUUUAUUUUUACCUUUUGUAUCAGGGUUUAUUAAAUUUAUUAAUUAUAUAAUUAAAUCUCGAAAUAAAUUGAUUUAAAUUUUUAUUAUAUUUAAUAUUUAAUUAUUAUUAUUAAUUAAAAUUUAGAGAUGAAAUAUUUUACAAAAUUUAUAAUAUCUAGUUAUUUUAUAAAUAAAUUAAAUUUAAUUAUUAAUAUUAUAAAAAUUUAAUUUUUUAAAAUUUUUAUUAUAUUUAUAGUAAAAUUAUUAGGGAUAAACUUAAUAAUAAUUUUAAUAUAAUACAUUAAUUGAUUUUUAUUAUAAGAAUAAUAAUUUUUAAUAAUAAAUAAUAUUUAAUCAUUAAAAUUUUAAAAAAUUAAAUUUUUAAUUUAUUUAAUUAAUUAUAAAAUAAAAAAUUUUAAUUAAAUUUAUUUAAUUAUAAUGAUAAAAUUAGUAAAUAUAAAUUAUAGUAAAUUUAUUAAAAUGAAAGAUUAGUUUAAGGAAUUAGGCAAAAAUAUUUAUUCAUCUGUUUAUUAAAAACAUAGUUUAUUGAAAUUAAUAUUAAAUAAAAUCUGCUCAAUGAUUUAAAAUUAAAUAGCUGCAGUAUUCUAACUGUACAAAGGUAGCAUAAUCAAUUGUCUUUUUAUUAAAGUCUGGAAUGAAAGAUUAAAUGAAAUAAAAACUGUCUCUAGUUAAAUAAUAAUUAAAAUUAAUUUUAAGUUAAAAUUCUUAAAUUUAUUUAAAAGACGAGAAGACCCUAUAGAAUUUUAUUAAUAAUUUAUUUAAAUUAUUUAAUUAAAUAAUUUAAAUAAAUUAAUUUAUUAAAUUGGGGAAAUUAUAAAAUUUUAUUAAUUUUUAUAAAUUAUUUAAUAAUAAUUUUUAUAAAUUUUAAAAUUGUAAUAAAAUUAAUUAUAUUAAAUAUAAAAUAAAUUACCUUAGGGAUAACAGCGUUAAAUUUUUAAAGAGUUCAUAUUGAUAAAAAUUUUUGCGACCUCGAUGUUGAAUUAAAAUAAAUUAUUAUUGAAGAUAAUAAUAUAAUUUAGUCUGUUCGACUAUUAAAAUUUUACAUGAUUUGAGUUUAGAUCGGUGUAAGCCAGAUCGGAUUCUAUCUUUAAAUAAAUUAAAUAUUUUUGUACGAAAGGACUUUAUAUUAAUAUUAAAUAUUACAAUUAGAAUAAUAAUA